GCUUGUCUCAAAGAUUAAGCCAUGCAUGUCUAAGUAUAAGCACCCUUAUACGUCGAAACUGCGUACAGCUCAUUAUAUCAGCAAUUAUUUAUUUGAAGGUCACUAAUUACAUGGAUAACCGUGGUAAUUCUAGAGCUAAUACAUGCGAAAAAUCCCGGCGCAAGUCGGGAUGUAUUUAUUAGAUAAAAAACUAAUACAGGUUCUACCUGUUCUUUUGGUGAAUCAUAAUAACUGUUCGAAUCGCAAAGCGCAAGCUGGCGAUAGUUCAUUCAAAUUUCUGCCCUAUCAGCUUUCGACGGUAGUGUAGUGGACUACCGUGGCGUUAACGGGUAACGGAGAAUUAGGGUUCGAUUCCGGAGAGGGAGCCUGAGAAAUGGCUACCACAUCCAAGGAAGGCAGCAGG
rnacentral:rRNA from 1 species